UACGGAGGGGGCAAGCGUUGUUCGGAAUUACUGGGCGUAAAGGGCGCGUAGGCGGCUUGGCAAGUUGGGCGUGAAAGCCCUGGGCUUAACCCAGGAAUUGCGCUUGAGACUGCCGGGCUUGAGUGCGGGAGAGGUGAGUGGAAUUCCCAGUGUAGAGGUGAAAUUCGUAGAUAUUGGGAAGAACACCAGUGGCGAAGGCGGCUCACUGGCCCGCAACUGACGCUGAGGCGCGAAAGCGUGGGGAG
rnacentral:rRNA from 1 species